rnacentral:rRNA from 1 species
GGACAAAGGUCGAAGCGCGUUGGGCCAGUUGAUUGGAUGGUGCUUGCACCUGAUUGAUUUUGGUCGCCCACGAGUGGCGGACGGCUGAGUAACACGUAGGUCACCUGCCCAGAAGCGGGGGACAACAUUUGGAAACAGAUGCUAAUACCGCAUAACAACGUUGUUCGCAUGAACAACGCUUAAAAGAUGGCUUCUCGCUAUCACUUCUGGAUGGACCUGCGGUGCAUUAGCUUGUUGGUGGGGUAAUGGCCUACCAAGGCGAUGAUGCAUAGCCGAGUUGAGAGACUGAUCGGCCACAAUGGGACUGAGACACGGCCCAUACUCCUACGGGAGGCAGCAGUCGAGGAAUCUUCCACAAUGGGCGCAAGCCUGAUGGACCAACACCGCGUGAGUGAAGAAGGGUUUCAGCUCGUAAAGCUCUGUUGUUAAAGAAGAACACGUAUGACAGUAACUGUUCAUACGUUGACGGUAUUUAACCAGAAAGUCACGGCUAACUACGUGCCAGCAGCCGCGGUAAUACGUAGGUGGCAAGCGUUAUCCGGAUUUAUUGGGCGUAAAGAGAGUGCAGGCGGUUUUCUAAGUCUGAUGUGAAAGCCUUCGGCUUAACCGGAGAAGUGCAUCGGAAAACGGGAUAACUUGAGUGCCGAA